UUAUUAUCAAAUCAUUGUUUUCUUAUUGCAAUGCUUCUUAAAUAAUUAAUACGUCUGGAUAGAGUCUCUUGCUGUUAGACAACUGAUAUAAACAGGCCAGGAAUAAUACUUUAGUGUGCUUGAAUUGCUGUAGAGGGAGAUCUUCCAGACGUUCACCUCAUCUCAGCAGUUUAUUGCUGCUGCUAUACAGCUGCUACAUGGCACAAAGGAACAGACAUAAACUGAUGAUGCCUACUACUCGGCUAAGUCGAGUUAGUAAGUCUUUUGUGGGUCGAUGUAUAUGCUUUUACAACAAGAUCCCAGAAAAUUUCAAAACAAAAGUAUUACGUUAUUCAAAAGAAUUGUUAAAAACCUUUGUGUGGUAAAGGUUACUAUAACAUUCUUUCAGACUUUCUUAAUGAUACCACAGAUUGGGAAUGGAGCGACCGCCCUCAGGCUAUUAAAUAAUAAGUUUAAUUGUACAAUGUUACUUUGUUAAUGUUACUUUAAUUGUAAAACAUAUUUUUGAUGAAAAAAAAAGCCCGGUGAGUUUGUUGCGCCCAUUCUUCUCAUACCUGAGGCAUUCAUUUUGGAAUGGGUGGUAGUUGACUUUCAAUAAGUGAUUUCACAUCCUAUUUUGAAUAAAAUUAUUUGAAUUUGAA